AACGAACGCUGGCGGCGUGCUUAACACAUGCAAGUCGAGCGAGAAAGGGGGGGCAACCCCCUGAGUAGAGCGGCGCACGGGUGAGUAACGCGUGGGUAACCUACCCCCAGGCGGGGGAUAACUACUCGAAAGGGUGGCUAAUACCGCAUGAGACCACGGGAUCUCCGGAUCUUGAGGCUAAAGGUCGCACCGGCUUGCCGGUGCUGUCACCAGGGGAUGGGCCCGCGUCCGAUUAGCUAGUUGGUGAGGUAAUGGCUCACCAAGGCUACGAUCGGUAGCUGGUCUGAGAGGAUGAUCAGCCACACUGGAACUGAAACACGGUCCAGACUCCUACGGGAGGCAGCAGUGAGGAAUAUUGCGCAAUGGGGGAAACCCUGACGCAGCAACGCCGCGUGGGUGAAGAAGGCCUUCGGGUCGUAAAGCCCUUUCGGACGGGACGAACGCUCCGCGGUGAAAACCGCGGAGUCUGACGGUACCGUAGGAAGAAGCACCGGCUAACUCCGUGCCAGCCGCCGCGGUAACAC
rnacentral:rRNA from 1 species